GCCUCUUUAGCUCAGUGGUAGAGCACUGGGCUUGUAAACCCAGUGGUAGAGCACUGGGUCGUGAGUUCAAACCUCACAGGAGGCA